UAAAUACUUAGCUAGUCGUCACACCACAUUGUCAUCACACAGUAAAUGAAAGGAGACGUUAUCCACAAAAAAGAGAGCAUGCUGCAUCCGCCGCUCCUAGAGACAGACAUGGACGAAGAGUCGCACACGAACGAACCCUGCUUUAAAGUUUGGGAAUCUACUGUUUACAGCCCUCAGCCAAUACUGCAAUGAGGAGAAUAAUAAGGGUGAACUGCAUUCCAGGAUUGUUAUAAGCCACACUAUCACAGCCUCAGCUACACUGCGAUCUUGUAAUACUGGGAUUAUACGAUUUUUAUAUAUAAGGUUUGGAAUUGUUUCAUUUUUUUAGCUGCUUUAUUGUAUUUUAAAAUUUUUAUUCCCGAUUAUUGAUUUUGUUUUAUGAUAUUUGUGAACCGCCCUUAGCUAUUCUGUAAGGGCGGUCUAGAAGUCGAACAAAUAAUAAAUAAAUAACAAUAAAUUAUAACAAUGAC